AAGCCUGGCAAUGGCGGGCGCCCCUCCCCCAGCCUCGCUGCCACCUUGCAGUUUGAUCUCAGAUUGCUGUGCUAACAAUCAGCCAGACUCCUUGGGCGUAGGACCCUCCGAGCCAGGUGUGGGAUAUAAUCUCGUGGUGCGCCAUUUUUUAAGCUGGUCAGAAAAGCGCAGUAUUCAGGUGGGAGUGGCCCGAUUUUCCAGGUGCGUCGGUCACCCGUUUCUUUGACUCGGAAAGGGAACUCCCUGACCCCUUGCGCUUCCCAAGUGAGGCAAUGCCUCUCCCUGCUUCGGCUCGCGCAUGGUGCGCGCACCCACUGACCUGCGCCCACUGUCUGGCACUCCCAAGUGAGAUGAACCCGGUACCUCAGAUGGAAAUGCAGAAAUCACCCGUCUUCUGCAUCGCUCACGCUGGGAGCUGUAGACAGGAGCUGUUCCUAUUCGGCCAUCUUGGCUCCUCUCGAUAAUUGCUUUCAUGUGAACCCUUCAUAAGGUAAAAUCAAAUCCCUAUUAGGAUAAAUGAUUGAGUGUUCCUGUAAAGAAUUGUUCCCCUGGUUCAAGCAACCAGAUUUCAUUCCCAGAUGAUCAAAAAUGGACUUGAUGAAAUGGAAAAGCACUGAUAGAAACAGUUCCACUGCUCAAAAUUACUCCUGAAGGGAUGAGGACACCAGGAUAUGCCACCGGACCACUGAAGAGAUUGCUGUUUUCUGCCCCAGGCCUGUGCCAUGAGGGACACUUUCUCAGGACUCUUGCCAAUCUUUUCUGAGAGUACCUGGUGAGCUCUGUUGUGAAUUGCCUGUAAGUAGAUAAAA
rnacentral:lncRNA from 1 species